rnacentral:lncRNA from 1 species
UUUAUCCUGUCCUUUCCAAUAUGGCCUAGUCUAUGAUGCCACAAGUACUUCUAGUUAAUUUUAUCUCUGGGUCUCUUUUAGCCCACGGCACUCACUAUUUGCUCGUUUAGGUUCACAUUUGCAUCAGCAUGCAAGUGAUAAAGACUGUCAAUUAAAAGACCUCAUGCAAUCAAUUUAUUUCAUAAAUAAAUGAAAUAAAAGUCUUUAUUGAAACUAAUUUCAAAACCAUUCUAUAUUAGCACAGACACAAAAAUCAAAUUUCGACUAGCUAUAG